rnacentral:lncRNA from 1 species
ACUGGAGCGGGCACCUGGCGCUCCCGCGCUGCGGCGCGCAGAGCUAGCUGCGGGGCUGGGGAAUCCGCGGCCACCGCCUCUAAUCCGCCCUUAAGUAGUCUCCGCCUGCGUCACGCCAGGUCGGCGGAGGGGAGCAGAGCGCGGCGUGCCGCUGUCGCCGAGCGUCGGAGCCCGAGGGGCCGCGGCCGCGCGCCGCGGGGGGAGGAGACGGUCUGGAGUCCCCCCGCUGCGCCGGGGUUGGGGAGACGGAGGACUGCAGCGCCCCUUGGGGCUUCUGAGGCGCCCAGGUAACCUCACCUGGCCGCCAGUCUCCCGCAGGAGGAACAGACACGUUGGUUCCACACCGAACCUAUUAACAGCUCAACUUCAAAUAUUUGGCAGAGGUGGGAUUGCUGUUCACUAAGGUUAUAUGAGCCAGCUUGGUUACUAAAUGUGAAAAUGCAUAUUUUUCAAUCCUGGAGUGGCUGCUCCCUGAAGAGAGUCCUGGUCCUAGGAAUCUGGGAUUCUACCUGAAGUCACAAAGAUGAACAGAACAAACGGUAGAGCCCUGGAGAGAGGCAUCUGAGUGAGCCUGCUUUCUAACCAACUUCUCAGAACUGCCUGCCGCUGGGCUGCCGAACAGAAGUUCAAGUUCUGGGAUUCCACCCUUGAAGAGAAAUGAAUCUGCACUUAGUGAGCCCUCACCCUGUAGGUCAGGACAUGUAGUUCUUGCUAUCCUGAAACUCACUAUGUACAACAGACUGGUCUCGAACACACUGAGAUCUGCCUGGUUCUGUCUCCCCGGUGGUGAGAUCAAAGUCAAGUCUAGGUCAGAGUUCUGGGCUCAGUCGAGAUGGGAGCAUCCCAACCUUCCCAGGCACUCCCCCUCACCGUGGUGGGCACCAGUGAAGGGACAUCGGGAGGAAGACACUGGAACCUUUUGCUCUGCCAGUACAGAAGUUGUUCCCUGCAUUCUCCCUCUCGUCUGGACUGCUCGGCUAUCUCAUACCUAGCUGCAGACCCUAAUUGUUUCCCAUUGUUAGUGUUCCUGACCUUACAUCAACCUUCUCACUUCAUUUUUAACUCUAUCUAUGCUUUCAUCAUAACAAAUAUAACUCGUGGCUGUCAAAUAUAACUCGUGGCUGUUCUUCUCAUGUUGUUUUAGGUUGACUUAGUGGAGCGUUGUUAUCUACUCAUGCACUUGUGCUAAAAUAUGCCAAGUACACAAACUAAAAUUAUUUAUGAUUUGAGAAAAAAGAAUCUAGCUACCAUUUACAUUAUUGUAAACAUACAAAUAAAUAUCUGGCUUAAAAUGUAUACCAUCAUGACCUUUGUCAUAUGACAAAGUAAGCAUUAGAGAGAAAUGAAAUUAUAUAUUUGAUCUCCUUGUUGUAUUUUCUUCGAUUAAAAGCUGUCCGACCGC